rnacentral:piRNA from 1 species
UAACCAAAAUUGGAGAAGUCA